ACAUCUGUGGUGGAACGGUAUACACGUGUGGUUUAGAACCACAUGCUUAACAGCGUGCAGGUUCGAAUCCUGUCAGAUGUA
rnacentral:tRNA from 1 species